rnacentral:rRNA from 1 species
UGGGGAAUAUUGCACAAUGGAGGGAACUCUGAUGCAGCGACGCCGCGUGAACGAAGAAGGCUUUCGAGUCGUAAAGUUCUUUUAUAUGGGAAGAUAAUGACGGUACCAUAAGAAGAAGCCCCGGCUAACUACGUGCCAGCAGCCGCGGUAAUACGUAGGGGGCUAGCGUUGUCCGGAAUCACUGGGCGUAAAGGGUCCGCAGGCGGAAAUGCAAGUCAGGUGUAAAAGGCAGUAGCUUAACUACUGUAAGCAUUUGAAACUGCAUAUCUUGAGAAGAGUAGAGGUAAGUGGAAUUUUUAGUGUAGCGGUGAAAUGCGUAGAUAUUAAAAAGAAUACCGGUGGCGAAGGCGACUUACUGGGCUCAUUCUGACGCUGAGGAACGAAAGCGUGGGUAGCAAACAGG